rnacentral:rRNA from 1 species
UUAAGCGACUAAGCGUACACGGUGGAUGCCCUGGCAGUCAGAGGCGAUGAAGGACGUGCUAAUCUGCGAAAAGCGUCGGUAAGGUGAUAUGAACCGUUACAGCCGGCGAUGUCCGAAUGGGGAAACCCAGUGCAAUUCGUUGCACUAUCGUUAACUGAAUACAUAGGUUAACGAGGCGAACCGGGGGAACUGAAACAUCUAAGUACCCCGAGGAAAAGAAAUCAACCGAGAUUCCCCCAGUAGCGGCGAGCGAACGGGGAGCAGCCCAGAGUCUGAAUCAGCUUGUGUGUUAGUGGAACGGUCUGGAAAGUCCGACGGUACAGGGUGAUAGUCCCGUACACCAAAAUGCACAGGNUGUGAACUCGAAGAGUAGGGCGGGACACGUGGUAUCCUGUCUGAAUAUGGGGGGACCAUCCUCCAAGGCUAAAUACUCCUGACUGACCGAUAGUGAACCAGUACCGUGAGGGAAAGGCGAAAAGAACCCCGGCGAGGGGAGUGAAAAAGAACCUGAAACCGUGUACGUACAAGCAGUGGGAGCACCUUCGGGUGUGACUGCGUACCUUUUGUAUAAUGGGUCAGCGACUUAUAUUCUGUAGCAAGGUUAACCGUAUAGGGGAGCCGCAGGGAAACCGAGUCUUAACUGGGCGUUAAGUUGCAGGGUAUAGACCCGAAACCCGGUGAUCUAGCCAUGGGCAGGUUGAAGGUUGGGUAACACUAACUGGAGGACCGAACCGACUAAUGUUGAAAAAUUAGCGGAUGACUUGUGGCUGGGGGUGAAAGGCCAAUCAAACCGGGAGAUAGCUGGUUCUCCCCGAAAGCUAUUUAGGUAGCGCCUCGUGAACUCAUCUUCGGGGGUAGAGCACUGUUUCGGCUAGGGGGUCAUCCCGACUUACCAACCCGAUGCAAACUACGAAUACCGAAGAAUGUUAUCACGGGAGACACACGGCGGGUGCUAACGUCCGUCGUGAAGAGGGAAACAACCCAGACCGCCAGCUAAGGUCCCAAAGUCAUGGUUAAGUGGGAAACGAUGUGGGAAGGCACAGACAGCCAGGAUGUUGGCUUAGAAGCAGCCAUCAUUUAAAGAAAGCGUAAUAGCUCACUGGUCGAGUCGGCCUGCGCGGAAGAUGUAACGGGGCUAAACCAUGCACCGAAGCUGCGGCAGCGACACUAUGUGUUGUUGGGUAGGGGAGCGUUCUGUAAGCCUGCGAAGGUGUGCUGUGAGGCAUGCUGGAGGUAUCAGAAGUGCGAAUGCUGACAUAAGUAACGAUAAAGCGGGUGAAAAGCCCGCUCGCCGGAAGACCAAGGGUUCCUGUCCAACGUUAAUCGGGGCAGGGUGAGUCGACCCCUAAGGCGAGGCCGAAAGGCGUAGUCGAUGGGAAACAGGUUAAUAUUCCUGUACUUGGUGUUACUGCGAAGGGGGGACGGAGAAGGCUAUGUUAGCCGGGCGACGGUUGUCCCGGUUUAAGCAUGUAGGCUGGUUAUCCCCGAAAGCUAUUUAGGUAGCGCCUCGUGAACUCAUCUUCGGGGGUAGAGCACUGUUUCGGCUAGGGGGUCAUCCCGACUUACCAACCCGAUGCAAACUACGAAUACCGAAGAAUGUUAUCACGGGAGACACACGGCGGGUGCUAACGUCCGUCGUGAAGAGGGAAACAACCCAGACCGCCAGCUAAGGUCCCAAAGUCAUGGUUAAGUGGGAAACGAUGUGGGAAGGCACAGACAGCCAGGAUGUUGGCUUAGAAGCAGCCAUCAUUUAAAGAAAGCGUAAUAGCUCACUGGUCGAGUCGGCCUGCGCGGAAGAUGUAACGGGGCUAAACCAUGCACCGAAGCUGCGGCAGCGACACUAUGUGUUGUUGGGUAGGGGAGCGUUCUGUAAGCCUGCGAAGGUGUGCUGUGAGGCAUGCUGGAGGUAUCAGAAGUGCGAAUGCUGACAUAAGUAACGAUAAAGCGGGUGAAAAGCCCGCUCGCCGGAAGACCAAGGGUUCCUGUCCAACGUUAAUCGGGGCAGGGUGAGUCGACCCCUAAGGCGAGGCCGAAAGGCGUAGUCGAUGGGAAACAGGUUAAUAUUCCUGUACUUGGUGUUACUGCGAAGGGGGGACGGAGAAGGCUAUGUUAGCCGGGCGACGGUUGUCCCGGUUUAAGCAUGUAGGCUGGUUAUCCAGGCAAAUCCGGAUAANCAAGGCUGAGGUGUGAUGACGAGGCACUACGGUGCUGAAGUAACAAAUGCCCUGCUUCCAGGAAAAGCCUCUAAGCAUCAGGUAACAUCAAAUCGUACCCCAAACCGACACAGGUGGUCAGGUAGAGAAUACCAAGGCGCUUGAGAGAACUCGGGUGAAGGAACUAGGCAAAAUGGUGCCGUAACUUCGGGAGAAGGCACGCUGGUGUGUAGGUGAAGUCCCUGCGGAUGGAGCUGAGACCAGUCGAAGAUACCAGCUGGCUGCAACUGUUUAUUAAAAACACAGCACUGUGCAAACACGAAAGUGGACGUAUACGGUGUGACGCCUGCCCGGUGCCGGAAGGUUAAUUGAUGGGGUUAUCCGUAAGGAGAAGCUCUUGAUCGAAGCCCCGGUAAACGGCGGCCGUAACUAUAACGGUCCUAAGGUAGCGAAAUUCCUUGUCGGGUAAGUUCCGACCUGCACGAAUGGCGUAAUGAUGGCCAGGCUGUCUCCACCCGAGACUCAGUGAAAUUGAACUCGCUGUGAAGAUGCAGUGUACCCGCGGCAAGACGGAAAGACCCCGUGAACCUUUACUAUAGCUUGACACUGAACAUUGAGCCUUGAUGUGUAGGAUAGGUGGGAGGCUUUGAAGCGUGGACGCCAGUCUGCGUGGAGCCAACCUUGAAAUACCACCCUUUAAUGUUUGAUGUUCUAACGUUGGCCCCUGACCGGGGUUGCGGACAGUGUCUGGUGGGUAGUUUGACUGGGGCGGUCUCCUCCCAAAGCGUAACGGAGGAGCACGAAGGUUAGCUAAUCCUGGUCGGACAUCAGGAGGUUAGUGCAAUGGCAUAAGCUAGCUUGACUGCGAGCGUGACGGCGCGAGCAGGUGCGAAAGCAGGUCAUAGUGAUCCGGUGGUUCUGAAUGGAAGGGCCAUCGCUCAACGGAUAAAAGGUACUCCGGGGAUAACAGGCUGAUACCGCCCAAGAGUUCAUAUCGACGGCGGUGUUUGGCACCUCGAUGUCGGCUCAUCACAUCCUGGGGCUGAAGUAGGUCCCAAGGGUAUGGCUGUUCGCCAUUUAAAGUGGUACGCGAGCUGGGUUUAGAACGUCGUGAGACAGUUCGGUCCCUAUCUGCCGUGGGCGCUGGAGAAUUGAGGGGGGCUGCUCCUAGUACGAGAGGACCGGAGUGGACGCAUCACUGGUGUUCGGGUUGUCAUGCCAAUGGCACUGCCCGGUAGCUAAAUGCGGAAGAGAUAAGUGCUGAAAGCAUCUAAGCACGAAACUUGCCCCGAGAUGAGUUCUCCCUGAGACU